GGGGUUCUGGCUCAGUGGUAGAGUGCUUGCCUAGCAUGCAUGAGGCACUGGGUUCGAUCCUCAACACCACA
rnacentral:tRNA from 1 species